UGAGGAAUAUUGGUCAAUGGGUGAAAGCCUGAACCAGCCAUCCCGCGUGCAGGAAGACGGCCCUAUGGGUUGUAAACUGCUUUUCCAGGAGGAGAAACUUUCGUACGUGAUACGGGAUUGACGGUACCCUGGGAAUAAGCCUCGGCUAACUCCGUG
rnacentral:rRNA from 1 species